rnacentral:lncRNA from 1 species
CGCCUGACCUCAACCCAGUUGAAAUGGUUUGGGAUGAGUUAGACCGCAGAGUGAAGGAAAAGAAGCCAACAAGUGCUCAGCAUAUGUGGGAACUCCUUCAAGACUGUGGAAAAGCAUUCCAGGUUUCGGCACCCAGGGGAAACAAUCCCACCACUGGGGAAGAGGUGGUGGGAAAUGAUCAGGAGGAGGCACAAGAACCUGAGCAUGAGGAGGCCGGACACCAUAGACAGGGGGAGAGCGGAGUGUGCCACACGUCCGAUGAUGGACACCUUCUUUACUUCUUCUGAGAAGCACUUGGAGGAGAUUGGGUUGAGGGAGAAACCCAGACAAUUAUAUAACUGCGAUGAUUCUGGGUUUUGUAGCGACCAGGCACAAAGCGCUGGCUCCCCGGGGUGCAAAACACGUGUACCAGCAGGCUCCAGGGACCAAGGAGCACAUCACAGUGCUGGCCUGCUUCAACGCAGCUGGGGAGGAUGUCCCCCUGUUUAUCAUCUACCCCAAGUGUUUCCCCGGUGGCCACUACACACUGGGAGCCCCCCCCCUAAGCUUUGUAUGGACAGUCAAACAGUGGCUACAUUGACAGGGACCUGUUCAGGAAGUGGUUUCAGCACUUUAUUCAUUAUGCAGUGAAGGAGCGCCCUCUCUUUCUCUUCAAUGGACACAAGCCACAUGGACCUGGAGGUGCUCGUGGCGGCACUAAGGGAAGGGGUUAUACUUCUUUGUCUUCCACCACACUGCACCUAUGUCCUGCAGCUGCUGGACGUGGCAUACUUUGGCCCUUUAAAGGCUGAGUUCUCCAAGGUAGCUGGAGACCUCAGCCAUUUUGACCACUCCUACAUUGUAAACAAAUCAGAAUUUGCCAGAGUAUUCCAGAUGAGACCAUUGACUCCAUCGCCUCUGCUGAACCUCCUGCUGGAACCAUUCCUGACAGCUGCAUCGCCAGUGCCUCCCAGUGUCCAACACCUGUAAGAGCAUCCGUAGCCCCCAGCUGCAGAUAAAAGGCCAGAAAAAAUGCAACGUGCCUACACUCCCUGCCACACCAAUACAAACACCAGCCUCCAAACCAUCGUCGGCAGUGUCGCCCACGACCACCAUGAUGCACCCCCCCCAUCUGUCACCA